AGGGAAUCUUCCGCAAUGGGCGAAAGCCUGACGGAGCAACGCCGCGUGAGUGAUGAAGGUCUUCGGAUCGUAAAACUCUGUUAUUAGAGAAGAACAUAUGUGUAAGUAACUGUGCACAUCUUGAUGGUACCUAAUCAGAAAGCCACGGCUAACUACGUGCCAGCAGCCGCGGUAAUACGUAGGUGGCAAGCGUUAUCCGGAAUUAUUGGGCGUAAAGCGCGCGUAGGCGGUUUUUUAAGUCUGAUGUGAAAGCCCACGGCUCAACCGUGGAGGGUCAUUGGAAACUGGAAAACUUGAGUGCAGAAGAGGAAAGUGGAAUUCCAUGUGUAGCGGUGAAAUGCGCAGAGAUAUGGAGGAACACCAGUGGCGAAGGCGACUUUCUGGUCUGUAACUGACGCUGAUGUGCGAAAGCGUGGGGAUCAAACAGGAUUAGAUACCCUGGUAGUCCACGCCGUAAACGAUGAGUGCUAAGUGUUAGGGGGUUUCCGCCCCUUAGUGCUGCAGCUAACGCAUUAAGCACUCCGCCUGGGGAGUACGACCGCAAGGUUG
rnacentral:rRNA from 1 species